rnacentral:rRNA from 1 species
UACGAAGGGGGCGAGCGUUGUUCGGAAUCACUGGGCGUAAAGGGCGCGUAGGCGGCCUCUCUUGUCGCGUGUCGAAAGCCCCGGGCUCAACCUGGGAACGGCGCGGCGAGACGGGGGGGCUGGAGUUCGGGAGAGGAGCGUGGAAUUCCCAGUGUAGAGGUGAAAUUCGUAGGAUAUUGGGGAAGAACACCGGGUGGCGAAGGCGGCGCUCUGGACCGAGACUGACGCUGAGGCGGCGAAAAGCGUGGGGAGCAAACAGGG